CGUUGUGGAUGAUGAGAUAUAAAAAUUACAGUUAUCCCUGGCUGAUGCAUCAGGUGCUGAAAUUUGUAAAUCUGACACAACC
rfam:Eucalyptus grandis cultivar BRASTZ1 unplaced genomic scaffold scaffold_8, whole genome shotgun sequence.